GGGCUAUCUGCAGUCGAACGCGUCCUCGCUGAUGAAGUUGAAGUGCUUGCACGGAUUCUGAUUCAACAUUUGGACGAGUGGCGAACUGGUGAGUAACACGUGGGUAACCUGCCCUCAAGCAGGGGAUAACACUUGGAAACAGGUGCUAAUACCGUAUAACAAUGAAAACCGCAUGGUUUUCAUUUGAAAGAUGGUUUCGGCUAUCACUUGAGGAUGGACCCGCGGCGUAUUAGCUAGUUGGUGAGGUAACGGCUCACCAAGGCAAUGAUACGUAGCCGACCUGAGAGGGUAAUCGGCCACAUUGGGACUGAGACACGGCCCAAACUCCUACGGGAGGCAGCAGUAGGGAAUCUUCCACAAUGGACGAAAGUCUGAUGGAGCAACGCCGCGUGAGUGAAGAAGGGUUUCGGCUCGUAAAACUCUGUUGUUAAAGAAGAACAGGUGUAAGAGUAACUGUUUACACCGUGACGGUAUUUAACCAGAAAGCCACGGCUAACUACGUGCCAGCAGC
rnacentral:rRNA from 1 species